rnacentral:lncRNA from 1 species
GACGAGUUGUAAGCCAAUCAGGAAGGUCGUUGCUUUUUAAAAGCGAGCCGCCAAACAACAAACUUUCUUGAACACCGAAGGUUGUGGUGUACGCGGAGUUCCUACAUUCAUACACGACUGUCUUCGUCUUUCUCUCAGAAAUCUACCAGAUUAGAGUUCAGUGACCGCAAGGAUGAGCGCGUUGAUGUUCGCCGGUCAGGAGAACGUCAGGCUGAGGCUGCCUCCGGGCAAGGAUCGCAUGCGACUGAAGUCUGCACCGGAGCUAAACACAGAAAAGGGCUUUAAAACUCCUGGCCCGACCACGCCCCUGCUGAAUCGUCCAAGACUGUGUUCUCAGAAGGUGACUCACACCCCCAAUGUAUACCCCCAGAGAGAAGACCCUGACCUGCGUUGUCGUGUGAAGGACGCUCAACCGCCGGCAGAAGAUGCAGAGCCUGACAUCGAGAGAAUGUUCCCCUACAGGCCAGAUGACUUUGAGCGUUACGGCGUGACUGAUGGGGUCUUGUAUCUGAGUGCCCUUCCCCUCGCUGGAGCUCCGUGGUUGCCGUGGCACCCUGUGAUUCCAGAGGCUGAUGACAUCACCUUAGAGGCAUGUGAGCCCCUGCCUCCACCACACACAGGUACUCCACACACACAGGUACUCAUGUGACCCCCCCCCCCCACACACACAGGUACUCAUGUGACCCCCACACACACACACACAGGUACUCGUGUGACUUCCCCCCCCCCCCCCCCCACACACACACAGGUACUCAUGAGCACACACUCCACCUAUGUGAACUGUGUCCUAAUGUUACGUGUGUGUGUGCACAGAGGAGCACAGGGAAGUGCUGGAUGACUUCCUGCUGACGCUCAGUGAGCUGAUGGUGGACCUGCCGCCCCCUCCAGAGGAUGAUGAUCUCGACCUUUGACCUUAGCAUCGUGGCUGUGUACACCUGCAGUUUUUAAGUUUUGUUGUGAUCUAUUGGGUUUUGUAUUAUCUUUUUCAAUAAAGUUCCUUGUUCAGAAAGUAUGCUGUGGGAU